rnacentral:rRNA from 1 species
ACUCGAGUGGCGAACGGGUGAGUAACACGUGGGUGAUCUGCCCUGCACUUCGGGAUAAGCCUGGGAAGCUGGGUCUAAUACCGGAUAGGAGCCAUUUUUAGUGUGAUGGUUGGAAAGUUUUUCGGUGUAGGAUGAGCUCGCGGCCUAUCAGCUUGUUGGUGGGGUAAUGGCCUACCAAGGCGGCGACGGGUAGCCGGCCUGAGAGGGUGGACGGCCACAUUGGGACUGAGAUACGGCCCAG